rnacentral:lncRNA from 1 species
CUGUAAACACCACUGGAACUGGAUCGCAAGGCGCGACUCGAUUACCCCAGAAUCCAGAGAUCUCUCCAUAAACCCUAACACAGUAACAACACUCUAAUUCCUCCACUCACUCUGCGGAAUCUGAGAAUUUGUUCAGCGAUGGCGGAAACAGCUCGAGGAUCGGCUACAAAUGGAACCCAGACGUCAUUGAAAGAACAGGGGAACGAAUUCUUCAAAGCCGGAAACUUCCUCA